rnacentral:tRNA from 1 species
GGAUGGGUGGCCGAGUGGUUGAAGGCACCGGUCUUGAAAACCGGCAGGCGCCAAAGCGUCUCGUGGGUUCGAAUCCCACCCCAUCCG